GAUGAACGCUGGCGGCGUGCCUAAUACAUGCAAGUCGAGCGAACAGACGAGGAGCUUGCUCCUCUGACGUUAGCGGCGGACGGGUGAGUAACACGUGGAUAACCUACCUAUAAGACUGGGAUAACUUCGGGAAACCGGAGCUAAUACCGGAUAAUAUAUUGAACCGCAUGGUUCAAUAGUGAAAGACGGUUUUGCUGUCACUUAUCGAUGGAUCCGCGCCGCAUUAGCUAGUUGGUAAGGUAACGGCUUACCAAGGCAACGAUGCGUAGCCGACCUGAGAGGGUGAUCGGCCACGCUGGAACUGGAACACGGUCCAGACUCCUACGGGAGGCAGCAGUAGGGAAUCUUCCGCAAUGGUCGAAAGCCUGACGGAGCAACGCCGCGUGAGUGAUGAAGGUCUUCGGAUCGUAAAACUCUGUUAUUAGGGAAAAACAAAUGUGUAAGUAACUAUGCACGUCUUGACGGUACCUAAUCAGAAAGCCACGGCUAACUACGUG
rnacentral:rRNA from 1 species